rnacentral:rRNA from 1 species
UGCCAGCCGCCGCGGUAAUACGGAGGGCGCAAACGUUGCUCGGAAUCACUGGGCAUAAAGCGCACGUAGGCGGCCCACUCAGUCAAGCGUGAAAGCCCCCGGCUCAACCGGGGAACUGCGCUCGAUACUGGUGGGCUCGAGGACGGUUGGGGUGAGUGGAACUCCUGGUGGAGCGGUGAAAUGCGUAGAUAUCAGGAGGAACACCGGUGGCGAAAGCGGCUCACUGGACCGUCUCUGACGCUGAGGUGCGAAAGCCAGGGUAGCGAACGGGAUUAGAUA